rnacentral:misc_RNA from 1 species
UAUUAAUAACACAAAAGAGAUGCAUGUGAUUUACAAAGGAAACAUCAGGCAUUACACUUGACAUGAUCACCUAUGCAUCAAAUGAUAUCCCUCCCUACAAGUAGGUUGAAGUAAGCCAAGUGGAAACUUCAUACCAAAAGGUGGUUUAAGAUGACAUACUAGCUCUGAUCUCCAUUAUCCAGAAUAAAAAGAAAAGUUAAACAACAUAGUAGUAGCUUCAUACUAUAGCCGGUCCACUAAUUAGAACAUACAACACUAGCAAACCCUAGAGACCAGUGGAAUCUCUCACAAUUCAUAGACUCAUAGAAGACUCAUAAGCAUCCUUCAAAGGUCUCGGCACCAUUGGACUCGUCAAGCAUUCGAACAACUUGAGCCACACCAGCUGCAAGUUCCUUCUGAAUGGCACCAUCUGGCAUAUCAAAUGUUCUCCUCCUUGCAACAGAUAAAGGCCUUCCACCAGGUUGGGGGUCGAUAACAUCAAGCAUUGCUUCUAACUCGUCCACUAUGGAUUUCUUUGCAGAUCGGACCAUCAUAUCCACACCCUCAAUGGCAUCAACAGUUAGUAGCAGCACAAUGAUCUUCUCAGAGAACCUCUGGCGCUCCUCAGCAUCACGAGCAACACGUCUACGAUAAGUGAAGUUGUUGAAGAGAGCCCUUAGCUCCUUCAACUUAGUCUUGGCAAUGGCCAGUUCUCUCAGAGCACGCAGUGCCUGAGACCUCUUAAUCAAGUAAGCCCUGAAGCUCAUUUGAAUCGCUAAAGCUGCAUCUUGUGGUGAUAGUUCCUUCCUCUUCCCCCUUCUCUUCUCCACCCUCUUUGCAAAUACCUGUCUUAAGACGAGUGCGCCAUGAUGGGUUGGCUCUUCAAUCUCAACCAAGCGUGUACAACCCACAGAUUUCUUCUUCUUCUUCAUCUUAUCUUUCUUCUCUUUUUUCUGACUUUCAUCGCUAUCGCUAUCGGAAUCAGUGACAUUUGAUGCUUUGAAACUGUAACUACGUGAAUCGUCACCUUUUCCUUUGAUCUCAGCACUAAAUUUGUAGUUUUUAUCCAAAGCCCCUUUCUUCUUACCAUCUUUCACCUCAGCAAUCCACUUAUAUUUCCGAUCAACCCCAUCCUUCUCAGGGCUCUUAAUCUCAGCCGUCCACGUGUACUUCCGCUCCCCAAUUUUAUUCUUCUUCUUCUUCUCCGUCAACAUCCGCUCGAGCGCGGUGACUCGGUCAGAGAGACAUUGCAACUCAGUACCGAGUCCUAUCCGGUGCUGGACCCGGCGAGUAGUGCUGUAAAAAGGGGUUGUUUCGAUUUGGAUCAGAUCGGUAAUGGAAUCGAAAUUUUCUAGAUCGAGGAAGGUAUUGGGUGCAUAAGGCUUAGGGCAGAUGAGAUCGAGAGUGCAGUCAAGCUCAUCUUCAAUGUGGAAGUAUGGGUUUAGAAGUAGGGUUUUGGGGGUGAAAAAUGAAGGAGAAGAAGAGUAGUCGAUGAUGUCAAAUCUCCUGAAGCGGCUCAUUUUCGCUUGAAUCUAGCUAAACCAAAUGCUAAAAACUUG